ACUCCUGCGGGAGGCAGCAGUGGGGAAUAUUGCACAAUGGGCGCAAGCCUGAUGCAGCCAUGCCGCGUGUAUGAAGAAGGCCUUCGGGUUGUAAAGUACUUUCAGCGGGGAGGAAGGCAAUACGGUUAAUAACCGUGUUGAUUGACGUUACCCGCAGAAGAAGCACCGGCUAACUCCGUGCCAGCAGCCGCGGUAAUACGGAGGGUGCAAGCGUUAAUCGGAAUUACUGGGCGUAAAGCGCACGCAGGCGGUCUGUCAAGUCGGAUGUGAAAUCCCCGGGCUCAACCUGGGAACUGCAUUCGAAACUGGCAGGCUUGAGUCUUGUAGAGGGGGGUAGAAUUCCAGGUGUAGCGGUGAAAUGCGUAGAGAUCUGGAGGAAUACCGGUGGCGAAGGCGGCCCCCUGGACAAAGACUGACGCUCAGGUGCGAAAGCGUGGGGAGCAAACAGGAUUAGAUACCCGGGUAGUCCCA
rnacentral:rRNA from 1 species